AUAGGUAAUUUCGCUUUACCUUUGAUGGGAAUGACGGCCACCGCUUGGCUUUAGGAAAACUUUGCGCUGCUUCUCUGCCUUCCCUUUGUUUAGAAUUGCCAUCGCUUCUCCUUCUUCAUCAUUUGAUCCGCCAUCCUUAUGACUUUAAAGACUUUGUGUUCAUUAACGGAAGAUCGAUUUUCUAAAAUAAAAAAUGAUACUGUAACAGAAAAUUGGGGGUUUUGCUGAGUUUCUUCACACUUCCUGCUCCAUUAAGAUCAUAGUAAAAAGUAUGUUCAAAUGCUACAUAACCUAUUCCAUGGUAAACGUUACAGCAGGUACCUUGGGAAACAAACUUUUAGGAUCAAAACAAGUAUGCUAUUAAUAUCGUAUCUUCAUGGACUCAAAGGAGUAAAUCUGCCACUCCUAAUCAAAGGUAUUGAAAAUCGAGUACUCAAUAUUAUAUUUUAAAAUUUCAAAUUGCCACAAACAAUUGUAUAUUUGACAAUACCUUAUGGUGGUUAUUUGUCAUUGAAAGUACUAUAAAACCUCUUUUAUGUUAUCUGUUGCUUGCUUAUGCUUCUGGUAUAAUAAGAACGAUUAUUGAGCUGGGUACUGUAGGUGAUACUCAAAAGAGAAAGACAGGUUGCUUUACUUGAAGAUACACAUUUUCUAUAUUUUUGGGUAUUGCAUCAAAAAUACCUGGUUGUAGCUACUGAUGGUUGACUAGAUAGCAGUGGCGUUGUAGAUUCUUUUUA